GCGGUCGUGGCGGAAUGGCAGACGCGCUGUCUUGAGGGGGCAGUGUCCGUAUGGAUGUGUGGGUUCAAAUCCCAUCGGCCGCA
rnacentral:tRNA from 1 species